GAAAAAGUAUGCAAGAACUGCUAAUUCAUGCCUCCAAGCUUAACAACUUGGCUUUUUCA
rnacentral:tRNA from 1 species